rnacentral:rRNA from 1 species
GACAGAGGGUGCAAACGUUGUUCGGAAUUACUGGGCGUAAAGCGCGUGUAGGCGGUUGUCCAAGUUGGAUGUGAAAGCCUUGAGCUUAACUCAAGAAAUGCAUUCAGGACUGGAUGACUAGAGGACCGGAGAGGAUAGUGGAAUUCCCAGUGUAGUGGUGAAAUACGUAGAGAUUGGGAAGAACACCAGUGGCGAAGGCGGCUAUCUGGACGGUUUCUGACGCUAAGACGCGAAAGCGUGGGGAGCGAACAGG